rnacentral:rRNA from 1 species
GAUGAACGCUGGCGGCGUGCUUAACACAUGCAAGUCGAACGAGAAGUGGAGACGGACACCUUCGGGCGGAAGACUUUAUUUCGAGUGGCGGACGGGUGAGUAACGCGUGGGUAACCUGCCUCAUACAGGGGGAUAACAGUUGGAAACGACUGUUAAUACCGCAUAAGACCACAGCACCGCAUGGUGCGGGGGUAAAAACUCCGGUGGUAUGAGAUGGACCCGCGUUCGAUUAGCCAGUUGGCGGGGUAACGGCCCACCAAAGCGACGAUCGAUAGCCGAUCUGAGAGGAUGACCGGCCACAUUGGGACUGAGACACGGCCCAAACUCCUACGGGAGGCAGCAGUGGGGAAUAUUGCACAAUGGGGGAAACCCUGAUGCAGCGACGCCGCGGGAGUGAAGAAGUAUUUCGGUAUGUAAAGCUCUAUCAGCAGGGAAGAAAAUGACGGUACCUGAGUAAGAAGCCCCGGCUAACUACGU